UGAAUGCCAGUGUGUGUAUGCCAGUGUAUGUGUGUGCCAGUGUGUGUAUGCCAGUGUAUGUGUGUAUGAAUGCCAGUGUAUGUGUGUGUGUAUGCUGGUGUAUGAAUGCCAGUGUAUGUGUGUGUAUGCCAGUGUCUGAAUGCCAGUGUAUGUGUGUGCCAGUGUGUAUGCCGGUGUAUGAAUGCCAGUGUGUAUGCCAGUGUGUGUAUGCCAGUGUAUGUGUGUAUGAAAGCCAGUGUAUGUGUGUAUGUAUGCCAGUGUGUGGAUGCCAGUGUAUGUGUGUAUGUAUGUAUGCCAGUGUAUGAAUGCCAGUGUAUGUGUGUAUGUAUGCCAGUGUGUGUAUGCCAGUGCGUGUGUGUAUG